rnacentral:rRNA from 1 species
GACGAACGCUGGCGGCGUGCUUAACACAUGCAAGUCGAACGGUAAGGCCCUUCGGGGUACACGAGUGGCGAACGGGUGAGUAACACGUGGGUGAUCUGCCCUGCACUUCGGGAUAAGCCUGGGAAACUGGGUCUACUACCGGACAGGCCCACUGCCUGCAUGGGUGGUGGUGGCAAGCUUUUGCGGUGUGGGAUGGGCCCCGGGCCUGUCAGCUUGUUGGUGGGGUGAUGGCCUACCAAGGCGACGACGGGUAGCCGGCCUGAGAGGGUGACCGGCCACACUGGGACUGAGAUACGGCCCAGACUCCUACGGGAGGCAGCAGUGGGGAAUAUUGCACAAUGGGCGCAAGCCUGAUGCAGCGACGCCGCGUGAGGGAUGACGGCCUUCGGGUUGUAAACCUCUUUCAGCACCGACGAAGCGCAAGUGACGGUAGGUGCAGAAGAAGGACCGGCCAACUACGUGCCAGCAGCCGCCGUAA